rnacentral:rRNA from 1 species
UGAGGAUCGGGGCGUGUCGGGCUUGGUCGGGAAGUGGGUCAGCGCUAACGUGCCGGGCCUGGGCGAGGUGAGUGCCGCAGGGGUGCCGGUAAGUGCGUGGGUGCGGUCUGCUCUCCCGUGGGUUCGCCUGCGGUGCAGGAUGCGCGCAUCUGCGUGCCCCGGUGCUUUAACCUGUGUGUAGGAUCCGAGCUCGGUCCCGUGCCUUGGCCUCCCACGGAUCUUCCUUGCUGCGAGGCCGCGUCUGCCUUAGCGCGUCCCUUCCGGGGGAUGUGCGGGUGCGCGGAUUCUCUUCGGCCGCCAUUCAACGAUCAACUCAGAACUGGCACGGACUGGGGGAAUCCGACUGUCUAAUUAAAACAAAGCAUUGCGAUGGCCCUAGCGGGUGUUGACGCAAUGUGAUUUCUGCCCAGUGCUCUGAAUGUCAACGUGAAGAAAUUCAAGCAAGCGCGGGUAAACGGCGGGAGUAACUAUGACUCUCUU